GUGAUGAUCCAUGCAGGCCCUGAGGUCCUGCCCGCGCCGAUGAAGAGCCUAUGGGACUACCCUCUGA
rnacentral:snoRNA from 1 species